GCUAAAGUGGCUCAGUUGUGAGAGCAUUAGACUGAAGAUCUAAGGGGCCCUGGUUCAAUCCCAGGCUUGGGUAGGCC